rnacentral:rRNA from 1 species
AUUGAACGCUGGCGGCAGGCCUAACACAUGCAAGUCGAACGAGUGGCGGACGGGUGAGUAAUGUCUGGGAAACUGCCUGAUGGAGGGGGAUAACUACUGGAAACGGUAGCUAAUACCGCAUACUAUCAGAUGUGCCCAGAUGGGAUUAGCUAGUUGGUGGGGUAACGGCUCCCCAAGGCGACGAUCCAUCGCUGGUCUGAGAGGAUGACCAGCCACACUGGCACUGAGACACGGUCCAUACUCCUACGUGAGGCAGCAGUGGGGAAUAUUGCACAAUGGGCGCAAGCUUGAUGCAGCCCUGCCGCGUGUAUGAAGAAGGCCUUCGGGUUGUAAAGUACUUUCAGCGGUGAGGCGUUACCCGCAGAAGAAGCACCGGCUAACUCCGUGCCAGCAGCCGCGGUAAUAC